CCCCUAUGCACACUAGAGAUAGUGUCCUUCUUCGGAACAUUGGAGACAGGUGGUGCAUGGUUGUCGUCAGCUCGUGUCGUGAGAUGUUGGGUUAAGUCCCGCAACGAGCGCAACCCUUGACUUUAGUUGCCAGCAAGUAAGGUUGGGCACUCUAGAGUGACUGCCGGUGACAAACCGGAGGAAGGUGGGGAUGACGUCAAAUCAUCAUGCCCCUUAUGACCUGGGCUACACACGUACUACAAUGGCCGGUACAACGGGAAGCGAAGUCGCGAGAUGGAGCGAAUCCUAGAAAAGCCGGUCUCAGUUCGGAUUGCAGGCUGCAACUCGCCUGCAUGAAGUCGGAAUUGCUAGUAAUCGCGGAUCAGCAUGCCGCGGUGAAUACGUUCCCGGGUCUUGUACACACCGCCCGUCACACCACGAGAGUUUACAACACCCGAAGUCGGUGAGGUAACCCGAAAAGGAGCCAGCCGCCGAAGGUGGGGUAGACGAUUGGGGUGAAGUCGUAACAAGGUAGCCGUAGGUUUUUUGGGCA
rnacentral:rRNA from 1 species